rnacentral:rRNA from 1 species
AUGGAGAGCGCCGGGAUGAUGAAGAUGGCCACCGGUGAUGGAUCCCCCCUCCGGCAGGGUGCCGGAACAGGGUCCCGAUUGGUUUUUGGUGGCUACAGAGGCUUGCGGCGGCGGAACUCCCGAUCUAGGUUAUUUUCUGGAGGUUUCAGUAUUUAUAGGAAUUUUUGGCGUCUGGAACAAGUCAGGGAGGUCUCCGGGCUGUCCACGAGACAGGGGGGCGCGCCCAGGGGGUGGGCGCACCCCCCACCCUCGUGGGCAGCUCGGGACUCUUCUCGCCCAACUCUUUCACUCCAGGGGCUUAUUUUGGUCUAUAAAAAAUCAUCAAAAAUUGGCACGUCAAUUGGACUCCGUUUGGUAUUCCUUUUCUGUAAAACUAAAAAACAAGGAGAAAACAGAAACUGGCACUGA